rnacentral:rRNA from 1 species
AUGAUGCAUAGCCGAGUUGAGAGACUGAUCGGCCACAUUGGGACUGAGACACGGCCCAAACUCCUACGGGAGGCAGCAGUAGGGAAUCUUCCACAAUGGACGCAAGUCCGAUGGAGCAACGCCGCGUGAGUGAAGAAGGGUUUCGGCUCGUAAAGCUCUGUUGUUGGUGAAGAAGGACAGGGGGUAGUAACUGACCUUUUGUUUUGACGGUAAUCAAUUAGAAAGUCACGGCUAACUACGUGCCAGCAGCCGCGGUAAU